rnacentral:rRNA from 1 species
UACGAAGGGGGCUAGCGUUGUUCGGAAUCACUGGGCGUAAAGCGCACGUAGGCGGGUUCUUAAGUCAGGGGUGAAAUCCCGAGGCUCAACCUCGGAACUGCCUUUGAUACUGGGAAUCUUGAGUUCGGGAGAGGUGAGUGGAAUUGCGAGUGUAGAGGUGAAAUUCGUAGAUAUUCGCAAGAACACCAGUGGCGAAGGCGGCUCACUGGCCCGAUACUGACGCUGAGGCACGAAAGCGUGGGGAGCAAACAGG